ACAUGCCACAGACUACAUUUUUGGAAAAGGAGUGAGAUUGUUGCUGUGGGGCUCUGUCUGUACCAGAAGCUGCUGCUGAGAGCCUGCAGGGGCUUUGAUCGAGCAGGAAGCCUCAGAGGCUGUAGGUGGUUUCAUUGGAGUCAAAGCAGAGACUGUUGCUGUGCCUAGAGCUGAAGGAGGUGGGCCUGCAGUGAAGGAAUUGUGAGUAACCUGCACUCUUGUUUGGGAAAGUACUGGCAAGGGAAGGGGCACAGCAGAGAGACUGAGUCUGAGGAGAGGCAGAGUGAUCUUCCCAUUGAACCAGAACCCAGAGCUGCUGCCAUUUGGUGGGGCCAGCUCCAAUCCUCAGAGGGGUUGUGCAGCUUGGCUGGACUGAUGCAUAGAACCAACAGAGCGCUGUCUCCAGCUGCAGAUCUUCAAGCACACCCACGCAAGUGCCUAGGACUCUGAAAUCCAGAGGAGUGUACACUCUGAGAUGGGGUAAACGGUGGCAGUGUAAAUGCUGGUUAUGAGUAAAGAGACUGCAGCAGAGGGGUGAAUAGAGAGGAUUUCCAUCUCUCCAUCCAACAGCACCAUGGGGAUACUCAGGAUCUUCUUUAAUGUCAACAACAUCAGGCGUCCAGGCACACAGGUAGCUGAUGGGGUACAACUGAGAAGUCCUGUAGUAGAAGACAAAUAGGAAUAGAAGAAGAUUAGAGAUGGAAACUGAAGCACAGAGAGACUAAAUGACUUGCUCAAGAUGAUACACUAUAUUUGUGACAGAACCAGCAGCAAGCCCAGAUCUUCUGAGCCUCAGUCCAAUGUCGUUACCAACUGCAAGACCAUCCUUCCCAGACCAUCCCAGGAAGGAGUACAACAGGAGAUGUCAUUUCCUGAAGCCUCAGACAAGGAAGAGCCAAAUCACAUUACCAGUGCUUAAGCAGCUGAAGUGGCCACUUCCACUAUUAUGCCUCCAGAAGACAGAUUUGUUCCUUUGUAUCUGCCAGGGCCACCAGGCUUAAGAUUUGCCCCUCUGUGCCUUCUUUCAUACCAUCCCUUACACUUCAAAAAACCAACCAAUUACAGUUUGUCAUGUACCCUCCAUCUCUUCCUUCAAAAAUCAAUAAAGACCAAUCUAUUCUAUGAGGCAUUCCACCC